AGUGAACGCUGGCGGUAGGCCUAACACAUGCAAGUCGAACGGCAGCACAGUAAGAGCUUGCUCUUACGGGUGGCGAGUGGCGGACGGGUGAGGAAUACAUCGGAAUCUACUUUUUCGUGGGGGAUGACGUAGGGAAACUUACGCUAAUACCGCAUACGACCUACGGGUGAAAGCAGGGGAUCUUCGGACCUUGCGCGAUUGAAUGAGCCGAUGUCGGAUUAGCUAGUUGGCGGGGUAAAGGCCCACCAAGGCGACGAUCCGUAGCUGGUCUGAGAGGAUGAUCAGCCACACUGGAACUGAGACACGGUCCAGACUCCUACGGGAGGCAGCAGUGGGGAAUAUUGGACAAUGGGCGCAAGCCUGAUCCAGCCAUACCGCGUGGGUGAAGAAGGCCUUCGGGUUGUAAAGCCCUUUUGUUGGGAAAGAAAGGCAGCAGGUUAAUACCCCGCUGUUCUGACGGUACCCAAAGAAUAAGCACCGGCUAACUUCGUG
rnacentral:rRNA from 1 species